rnacentral:rRNA from 1 species
UGGGGAAUCUUAGACAAUGGGGGCAACCCUGAUCUAGCCAUGCCGCGUGAGUGAUGAAGGCCUUAGGGUUGUAAAGCUCUUUCAGCUGGGAAGAUAAUGACGGUACCAGCAGAAGAAGCCCCGGCUAACUCCGUGCCAGCAGCCGCGGUAAUACGGAGGGGGCUAGCGUUGUUCGGAAUUACUGGGCGUAAAGCGCACGUAGGCGGACCGGAAAGUCAGAGGUGAAAUCCCAGGGCUCAACCUUGGAACUGCCUUUGAAACUAUCGGUCUGGAGUUCGAGAGAGGUGGGUGGAAUUCCGAGUGUAGAGGUGAAAUUCGUAGAUAUUCGGAGGAACACCAGUGGCGAAGGCGGCUCACUGGCUCGAUACUGACGCUGAGGUGCGAAAGCGUGGGGAGCAAACAGG